CACACUAUCAUUAACUGAAUCCAUAGGUUAAUGAGGCGAACCGGGGGAACUGAAACAUCUAAGUACCCCGAGGAAAAGAAAUCAACCGAGAUUCCCCCAGUAGCGGCGAGCGAACGGGGAGGAGCCCAGAGCCUGAAUCAGUGUGUGUGUUAGUGGAAGCGUCUGGAAAGGCGCGCGAUACAGGGUGACAGCCCCGUACACAAAAAUGCACAUACUGUGAGCUCGAUGAGUAGGGCGGGACACGUGGUAUCCUGUCUGAAUAUGGGGGGACCAUCCUCCAAGGCUAAAUACUCCUGACUGACCGAUAGUGAACCAGUACCGUGAGGGAAAGGCGAAAAGAACCCCGGCGAGGGGAGUGAAAAAGAACCUGAAACCGUGUACGUACAAGCAGUGGGAGCCUCUUUAUGGGGUGACUGCGUACCUUUUGUAUAAUGGGUCAGCGACUUAUAUUCUGUAGCAAGGUUAACCGAAUAGGGGAGCCGAAGGGAAACCGAGUCUUAACUGGGCGUUAAGUUGCAGGGUAUAGACCCGAAACCCGGUGAUCUAGCCAUGGGCAGGUUGAAGGUUGGGUAACACUAACUGGAGGACCGAACCGACUAAUGUUGAAAAAUUAGCGGAUGACUUGUGGCUGGGGGUGAAAGGCCAAUCAAACCGGGAGAUAGCUGGUUCUCCCCGAAAGCUAUUUAGGUAGCGCCUCGUGAAUUCAUCUCCGGGGGUAGAGCACUGUUUCGGCAAGGGGGUCAUCCCGACUUACCAACCCGAUGCAAACUGCGAAUACCGGAGAAUGUUAUCACGGGAGACACACGGCGGGUGCUAACGUCCGUCGUGAAGAGGGAAACAACCCAGACCGCCAGCUAAGGUCCCAAAGUCAUGGUUAAGUGGGAAACGAUGUGGGAAGGCCCAGACAGCCAGGAUGUUGGCUUAGAAGCAGCCAUCAUUUAAAGAAAGCGUAAUAGCUCACUGGUCGAGUCGGCCUGCGCGGAAGAUGUAACGGGGCUAAACCAUGCACCGAAGCUGCGGCAGCGACACUAUGUGUUGUUGGGUAGGGGAGCGUUCUGUAAGCCUGUGAAGGUGUACUGUGAGGUAUGCUGGAGGUAUCAGAAGUGCGAAUGCUGACAUAAGUAACGAUAAAGCGGGUGAAAAGCCCGCUCGCCGGAAGACCAAGGGUUCCUGUCCAACGUUAAUCGGGGCAGGGUGAGUCGACCCCUAAGGCGAGGCCGAAAGGCGUAGUCGAUGGGAAACAGGUUAAUAUUCCUGUACUUGGUGUUACUGCGAAGGGGGGACGGAGAAGGCUAUGUUGGCCGGGCGACGGUUGUCCCGGUUUAAGCGUGUAGGCUGGUUUUCCAGGCAAAUCCGGAAAAUCAAGGCUGAGGCGUGAUGACGAGGCACUACGGUGCUGAAGCAACAAAUGCCCUGCUUCCAGGAAAAGCCUCUAAGCAUCAGGUAACAUCAAAUCGUACCCCAAACCGACACAGGUGGUCAGGUAGAGAAUACCAAGGCGCUUGAGAGAACUCGGGUGAAGGAACUAGGCAAAAUGGUGCCGUAACUUCGGGAGAAGGCACGCUGAUAUGUAGGUGAAGCGACUUGCUCGUGGAGCUGAAAUCAGUCGAAGAUACCAGCUGGCUGCAACUGUUUAUUAAAAACACAGCACUGUGCAAACACGAAAGUGGACGUAUACGGUGUGACGCCUGCCCGGUGCCGGAAGGUUAAUUGAUGGGGUUAGCGGUAACGCGAAGCUCUUGAUCGAAGCCCCGGUAAACGGCGGCCGUAACUAUAACGGUCCUAAGGUAGCGAAAUUCCUUGUCGGGUAAGUUCCGACCUGCACGAAUGGCGUAAUGAUGGCCAGGCUGUCUCCACCCGAGACUCAGUGAAAUUGAACUCGCUGUGAAGAUGCAGUGUACCCGCGGCAAGACGGAAAGACCCCGUGAACCUUUACUAUAGCUUGACACUGAACAUUGAGCCUUGAUGUGUAGGAUAGGUGGGAGGCUUUGAAGUGUGGACGCCAGUCUGCAUGGAGCCGGCCUUGAAAUACCACCCUUUAAUGUUUGAUGUUCUAACGUUGGCCCCUGAUCGGGGUUGCGGACAGUGUCUGGUGGGUAGUUUGACUGGGGCGGUCUCCUCCUAAAGAGUAACGGAGGAGCACGAAGGUUGGCUAAUCCUGGUCGGACAUCAGGAGGUUAGUGCAAUGGCAUAAGCCAGCUUGACUGCGAGCGUGACGGCGCGAGCAGGUGCGAAAGCAGGUCAUAGUGAUCCGGUGGUUCUGAAUGGAAGGGCCAUCGCUCAACGGAUAAAAGGUACUCCGGGGAUAACAGGCUGAUACCGCCCAAGAGUUCAUAUCGACGGCGGUGUUUGGCACCUCGAUGUCGGCUCAUCACAUCCUGGGGCUGAAGUAGGUCCCAAGGGUAUGGCUGUUCGCCAUUUAAAGUGGUACGCGAGCUGGGUUUAGAACGUCGUGAGACAGUUCGGUCCCUAUCUGCCGUGGGCGCUGGAGAACUGAGGGGGGCUGCUCCUAGUACGAGAGGACCGGAGUGGACGCAUCACUGGUGUUCGGGUUGUCAUGCCAAUGGCACUGCCCGGUAGCUAAAUGCGGAAGAGAUAAGUGCUGAAAGCAUCUAAGCACGAAACUUGCCCCGAGAUGAGUUCUCCCUGACUCCUUGAGAGUCCUGAAGGAACGUUGAAGACGACGACGUUGAUAGGCCGGGUGUGUAAGCGCAGCGAUGCGUUGAGCUAACCGGUACUAAUGAACCGUGAGGCUUAACCUU
rnacentral:rRNA from 1 species